CCUACGGGUGGCAGCAGUGAGGAAUAUUGGUCAAUGGGCGAGAGCCUGAACCAGCCAAGUCGCGUGAGGGAGUACUGCCCUAUGGGUUGUAAACCUCUUUUGUCGGGGAGCAAAAGCCGGACGUGUCCGGCUGUUAGAGUUCCCGAAGAAAAAGCAUCCGCAAACUCCGUUCCAGCCGCCGCCGUAAUACGGAGGAUGCGGGCGUUAUCCGGAUUUAUUGGGUUUAAAGGGUGCGCAGGCGGGUUUUUAAGUCCGCGGUAAAAUCGUGGGGCUCAACCCCAUCCAGCCGUUGAAACUGGGGAUCUAGAGUGUGCGAGAGGUAUGCGGAAUGCGUGGUGUAGCGGUGAAAUGCAUAGAUAUCACGCAGAACCCCGAUUGCGAAGGCAGCAUACCGGUGCACAACUGACGCUCAGGCACGAAAGCGUGGGUAUCGAACAGGAUUAGAUACCCCUGUAGUC
rnacentral:rRNA from 1 species